UUUUCCAAAUUCAAAUUCAGAGGCGGAUGUAGCAGGACUAGAACUGGUAAUUGCCUGCUCUGUGGUUCCACUGGGGAUGAUGAGGCCCUGGUGGCCUCAAUGGGGACAGUUUCAGUGGUGAGGUGGGUAAAGACACCAGAUUCAGACAGAAAUGGAGACAGCAUGGACUUCCCACCAAGAACGAGGAUGGAAAGGAAAGGGUAGCUAAGAAGAGUGUUGCCUCGAAAGAGGUUUUUGUUUGGCUUUGUUUUGCUUUGCUCUUUAGGACGAGAUAUUUGGGGCCAUGUUCACAGGCGGGGAUAAGGGCCCUGUGGAGAGGGAGGGGAUGGCUGCCGAAGCAAGACCCCAAGAGGCGGGAACACACAGCCGAGAGGCUGGCUCUCACUCGAGGCCAGCCCGGAGGGACGCAGGUGAAGGUGCCUGGCCUUGAAGGCAUCGGGAGGCCUCAGGGGGUCGUCACGUUUUUGCACACGUGAGCAGAGGCACUGUCUUUUGCCCCGGACUAUCUUUCCAAGAAUGAUGGUAUGCAGCAAACAGUCUGGAAAGAUAUGGAGAGUGACCCCGUCUGGAGCAGAGGGGUCCACAAAACUGCAGCAGGAGGACCCCUUGGCUGGAACACAGGGUAAACCUCAGCGCCUACACGGUUCCGGCCAGAAGAUGACUUUGCAGCGGGGGGCAUGAAGAGCUGGAGCCCCCCUCUCAGAGGCACGGCAGGGAUAAGACGAGGCUUGAGGAAAGAGGUAACGUUCUGGAAUCAUUGUGGAGCAGGUUGGGAGCUGGAGCUAAGCAAGGACAAGGCAUUGGCUGGCGUGGUGACAUGUCCCCUUCUACCCUGGAAUGAGACACCGGGGAGCUGGCAACAGGGGAAGCUGCAAGGCACUGGAGGUGGAUCUGACGCCUCAACACGCAUGGGGGUGGGUCACCCCACGCAGGACGAGAGCCCUCCCCAACCAGCCGCUGGAGUCCAGGCAGGUGGAGGCUGGGCUGCGUGGAGGCCAAGUCUGUAGGUUUGAAGAGGGAAAGCUGGUGGCAUUAAUGGUAAAUCCCUUUUAUUUCAUGAGGUCUGUGAGGCUUUCACUGAGAGGGAGGGGUAGGUGAGGGAUUUGGGGGCUCGGAGAGAGGUCUGAUGUUUCAUCUGCCACCAGGAGAUGGGAGGAGGUGCUAUUCAAGGGCUAACUACCAUCUACGGGUGGUUGAAAAGCAUAAAGAUUAAAAGAUAAGAUGGGAAACCAUCAGUUCUAAGCAGUGUCCAUCAGCAGGGUAGCCAGUUGUAGUUUCAAAAUUUGUGAGAACUGACCCAGAUGACCCGUUCCCGACUGGAGGCAAGGCCUCAGGAAGCUUUGCGGGAAGCACUGCAACUGGACGGACGCCUGUGGCUGCACCCAGACUGGCCCCAAUAUGUAAAGAACCGGGGCGCGCAGAAAGCCAGUGGCCAAGAGCGGGUCCCUCUCCGGCUCGCAGUUCCUGAUAGUUGGGCUCCUUCACAGUCUUCUGAGGUCUAAGGCCAGGAGGCUGCUCACUGGAGACUACGGUGUCAGACUGCUCACUCCCCAGGCGGCCCCCGCUUCGAGGCAUGAGCGCCGAGCGCCCCGGCCCUUCCCGACCGCGCAGCCCCUGCUACACCUUACAGGUGUCUCUGGGAUGCUGAGGUCACAGGCACGCAACGCGCCUGGGGAGCCUGGCCAGUCCCCAAAAGAGCGGGGUAAACAGCUCAGCGCCCCCACCCAUCCCGUCCCGGCAGACCCCCUCCGUCCUCCUCUCGAGCUCCACCCCGGGUCUGAGCCGCCGGGGUUUGCGCCUCCACCCCCGCCCCCCUCCCCGGCAAAGGGCAAAGGGCUGGGGCCCGGGAGGGCGCAGUGCUCAGCCCACGCGCCAGGUGGCGGCGUCUCCCCGCGCCCCGC